GCCAAGUGAGAAAUAACGGGUCAGAGAUUGAUUUCAACUGUGAUGAAGAGGACCAUCUGCAGGCUCCGUACCUGAAAAGGUACAACAAGGAGGGAUGAAGAAAGAUCACUGACCAGAAAUAAAAUUGGGAGUUUAGACAAUUAAAUUAUCUGGACAUUUUAAUUCCUGAACUACGACUAGGCUACAACAUGCGGACUGCUGUAGAUGUCACCCAGGAACAGAAAAUAACUAGCCUCGUGAGAAAGUUUUGAAUGGGCAAAAGGGAAAUUGAAUACAAUUGUUUUUUGCUUGCACCAUAUAGAGGCGUAUUCUUUCUAUGUACAGUGAUAGGAAACUGGUGGUGUUUGACAUCAUCCAAAAACAGGGCCCAUUUUUUGAAUCAUAAAUUAUCUUCAUGAACACACCCAUUGCCUUCAACAUACAGCCUAAGUCUCAUACUUUCUAAAAUAUCUCCGGUACCUGCUCCAGUUCUCAGUGAUCACCAAUUCCUUUGUCCUCCAAUAACAUAAAUUUCUUUUCUACCUUGUACUUAGAAUUCUGUUCAAACUAUCUUGUUGUAUUCAAAAUAAUUUUAACGAGCUAUAGUUGACAUAACAUAUUUAGUUAUCUAUCUAUGUAUCUGUCAUCUAUCAAUCAUCUGAUGAGAAUUUAUCAUUACACUCAAGAUAAUGAGCUCAGACAUGAUUCCCAAAUAUUUUCUCAUCAGGCUUUGUAAUUCUUCCCUCUCAACACUCCCCAGCAUCCCCCAAACCCAAUAAACCACUAAUCUGCUUUCAGUCACUAUAGAUUCAUUUAUAUUUUCUGAAAUUUUAUAUACAAUGGAAUCAUUCACUAUGAACUCUUUUUCAUCUGACGUCUUAUAUUCAGCAUAAUUAUUUUCAUAUGUUUCCGUGUUGCAGAGUAUAAUUUCGUUACAUAGAUAUUCUAUCUUAUUUAUCAAUUUACAUUUUUGUAAAGAUUGUGAAAUAAAAAUAAAAUCCUAAGCCCUGCAACUGACUGAGCAGACACCUGUUGCCCAAGAAGACUCCAGAAAAACUUUGAAAAAUUGAGUUUCCUGGUCAUGACAAGGUGGGAGGUUGAGUACCUCUUGGUGUACCUCAUUCCUUGCCAAUCUUUACUAGAUUAUUUUCUAAGGGUUAAACAGAAACUGGCCCUGGAAAAAUAAAGAAAUGAAAACUCACUCCUUUGCUGAUUUCAGCCAACUGCUGGACACUGCAGCUGGAAUCCUCUCCCUUCUUGUAGUUUCUACACAGCAGCUCACCAGUUUCAUAGCACAUUCCUUUCUGAUUUUUUACUACCAGCCAUGGACUGGUUCUGGCCAGAUACAGAGGCUGCCCACAAGAUGUCUGUCAUCUUUUAAUGUAUACAGCCUAAUUUUAAUACAUUUAAAUGUUAAUUCUCCAUCCUAAAGUGAACAUGUGACAUAUGUAAUAUGUAUGUUUGCUUACUAGCAUAUGUGUGUCCCUUGUGAAUAUUCAUAACUCUUUUUAUAACUUGUUGAUAUGUAUACUUAGCCAUCCUGUCCAGUAUAAAUUCCUGUCUCAUCCUUCUUCCAUUGAAGUACCUGCUUUUGAUUUCUGCUGGAGGCUAUGCUUCCCAGUCUGCAGGGUGGCCAGCCUGCAGGCGGAAACCCUUUAUAAGAAACAAAGCUCUCCUCUCCAAAUAUAUGGAUCUCAUGAUUUCAAGUCUACAAGACUUAAGUUGUUUUCUUUUCUUUUUUUUUUUUUUUUUUUUUUUUGAGAUGGAGUUUCACUCUUGUGGCCCAGGCUAAAGUGCAAUGGCACGAUCUCAGCUCACUGAAACCUCUGUCUCCUAGGUUCAAGCGAUUCUCCUGCCUUGGCCUCCCAAGUAGUGGAAAUUACAGGCACCUGCCACCAUGCCUAGCUAAUUUUUGAAUUUUUAGUAGAGACGGAGUUUCGCCAUGUUGGCCAGGCUGAUCUCGAGCCCCUGACCUCAGGUGAUUCACCUGCCUCAGCCUACCAAACUGCUGGGAUUACAGGCAUGAGCCAAGGCACCCAGACAGUUUUCAAACUACUGUUAUAAAUAAAGGUGCUGUAAACAUUGGUGUACAAUCUUUAUCUGAACAUCUGUUUUUAUUUCUCAUGAAUAAAUGCCUAGAUGUUAAACGGCAGGAUUAUAAGGUAAUUAUAUGUUAAACUUUCUAAGAAAUUUCUGAACAGUUUUUUCAAUUGCCUGUACAAUUUUUACAUUUCUACCAGUAGUGUAUGAGAAUUUCAGUUGUUUAACUCUCUUACCAAUACUUGUUAUCUAAUUUAACUAUUAUCUGAAUUAUUGUUAUUAUCCAAAUGAAAUUUACUGAUUCUAGUGAGUAGUAAUAUCUCACUGUAGUGUUAAUUUGAAUUUACUUACUCAUGAUGUUGCACAUCUUUUCAUAUGCUGAUUUGCCAUAAAUUGCUGGAUUACAGCUAAUAAAAAUAAACAAAAUGAAAUCAUAAAAAUACUAAAUUAGCCCUAAAGAAAAAAAAAAAGAAAGGAAAGAGGAAGAAGAAAAAAAAAUGGGACAAAUAGAAAACAAUGGGUAAGGAGACAGUAUUAAUUAAUAAUAUCAAUAACCACAUUACAUAUAAAUAGUCUAAAUACUCAAAAGGCAGAUAUUGCUAGAUAAAGUAGCAAGAAUUGCUUAUCACUGCCUUAAAAAACCUAAUUUGAGUAUAUAGAUAGCAAUGGGGUAGAAAUAACUGAAUGGGAAAAUAUAUACUAAUAUUAAUGAAAAAAUGCUAAAAUGACUACAGUAAUUUUAGACAGAGUGGGUUUCAGAGAUAAAAAAUAUUCAAAGGAGCCACUGAAAACUAUUUAACUUCCAUCUAUAAUGUUUAUUUUUUCUAGUGUUGCUUUAUGCUAAAAGAACAUUUUAAUUUAUUGCACUUGACUUGUUAA
rnacentral:lncRNA from 1 species